GAUGAACGCUGGCGGCGUACCUAAUACAUGCAAGUCGAGCGAACGGACGAGAAGCUUGCUUCUCUGAUGUUAGCGGCGGACGGGUGAGUAACACGUGGAUAACCUACCUAUAAGACUGGGAUAACUUCGGGAAACCGGAGCUAAUACCGGAUAAUAUUUUGAACCGCAUGGUUCAAAAGUGAAAGACGGUCUUGCUGUCACUUAUAGAUGGAUCCGCGCUGCAUUAGCUAGUUGGUAAGGUAACGGCUUACCAAGGCAACGAUGCAUAGCCGACCUGAGAGGGUGAUCGGCCACACUGGAACUGAGACACGGUCCAGACUCCUACGGGAGGCAGCAGUAGGGAAUCUUCCGCAAUGGGCGAAAGCCUGACGGAGCAACGCCGCGUGAGUGAUGAAGGUCUUCGGAUCGUAAAACUCUGUUAUUAGGGAAGAACAUAUGUGUAAGUAACUGUGCACAUCUUGACGGUACCUAAUCAGAAAGCCACGGCUAACUACGUGCCAGCAGCCGCGGUAAUACGUAGGUGGCAAGCGUUAUCCGGAAUUAUUGGGCGUAAAGCGCGCGUAGGCGGUUUUUUAAGUCUGAUGUGAAAGCCCACGGCUCAACCGUGGAGGGUCAUUGGAAACUGGAAAACUUGAGUGCAGAAGAGGAAAGUGGAAUUCCAUGUGUAGCGGUGAAAUGCGCAGAGAUAUGGAGGAACACCAGUGGCGAAGGCGACUUUCUGGUCUGUAACUGACGCUGAUGUGCGAAAGCGUGGGGAUCAAACAGGAUUAGAUACCCUGGUAGUCCACGCCGUAAACGAUGAGUGCUAAGUGUUAGGGGGUUUCCGCCCCUUAGUGCUGCAGCUAACGCAUUAAGCACUCCGCCUGGGGAGUACGACCGCAAGGUUGAAACUCAAAGGAAUUGACGGGGACCCGCACAAGCGGUGGAGCAUGUGGUUUAAUUCGAAGCAACGCGAAGAACCUUACCAAAUCUUGACAUCCUUUGACAACUCUAGAGAUAGAGCUUUCCCCUUCGGGGGACAAAGUGACAGGUGGUGCAUGGUUGUCGUCAGCUCGUGUCGUGAGAUGUUGGGUUAAGUCCCGCAACGAGCGCAACCCUUAAGCUUAGUUGCCAUCAUUAAGUUGGGCACUCUAAGUUGACUGCCGGUGACAAACCGGAGGAAGGUGGGGAUGACGUCAAAUCAUCAUGCCCCUUAUGGUUUGGGCUACACACGUGCUACAAUGGACAAUACAAAGGGCAGCGAAACCGCGAGGUCAAGCAAAUCCCAUAAAGUUGUUCUCAGUUCGGAUUGUAGUCUGCAACUCGACUACAUGAAGCUGGAAUCGCUAGUAAUCGUAGAUCAGCAUGCUACGGUGAAUACGUUCCCGGGUCU
rnacentral:rRNA from 1 species